rnacentral:misc_RNA from 1 species
CAACCCUCUUCAACAUAAAAACAAAGCAAUUUCUCAUUUUCCUUCUCAAUUAUCCUUUCUAUAUCUCAAAAAUUCGUACUUAAAAAAAUAAUAGAAUUUGCUAAUUUUGAAGAAUUUUCGAGUUUGCGUUGCAUCUUCAGUAAAUUUUUACCAGGUUGAUAUUUUAACAGAUACAAGCUGUUAAGUGCGACUUGUGCUUAUAGCAG